CGCGGAACGUCCCCAAUGCGCGAAAGCGUGAGGGCGCUACCCCGAGUGCUCCCGCAAGGGGGCUUUUCCCCGCUCUAAAAAGGCGGGGGAAUAAGCGGGGGGCAAGUCUGGUGUCAGCCGCCGCGGUAAUACCAGCCCCGCGAGUGGUCGGGACGCGUACUAGGCCUAAAGCGCCUGUAGCCGGCCCCGUAAGUCCCUCCCUAAAGGCCCGGGCUCCACCCGGGAACUGGGAGGGAUACUGCCGGGCU
rnacentral:rRNA from 1 species